rnacentral:lncRNA from 1 species
CCUCCUCACGUCCCCCAUGUGCCCUCGAUCGCGCCCACUCACCCCCCGCUCUCCUCGACUUCGACCUCGCCGAGGCUACGCCGCAAUUCUCUUAUUUUUUUUCUUUUCAAACCUACUACACUGCCUCUGAGGCCCUUUGUGACCCACCUCCACCUCCACCUUCAUUGCAACAGAUUUUUAACCCACAAAAUCUAUUUUUAAGAACCCGCCGUCCUCACCAUCGCCGCCGACGACGAAAAGGAAGCGUUUCUCGGCGCCAAAAAGCUCGCU